CUCCCCUCAGCCACUUUCACUUUGAUCCAACACGUGACUUCCCAGAAACCCAGAGUGUGUGUGUGUGUGUGUAUGUGUGUGUGUGUGUGUGUGUGUGUGUGUGUGUGUGUGUGUGUGUGUGUGUGUGUGUGUGUCCAGUGACCACGGUGGGAGUGUUAUGUUUAUUUAGUUAUUGUUUUAUUUAGGUAUUGAUUUAAAGUUAUUAUUAUUUGGACAGUUCACCUUUAUAUGGAAGCCCUAAACGGACAUGGUUGAACACUUUUUUAUUUCCUUCGUUUUCCCGUGUCAACGAGUUAAUUUCAGUGGUUUUCUCAAGAUCUCGAGUUAUUUUUCUCGUUAUCUCGAGAAAACGACAAUUUUGGCGGACCGGAAAUCACAUUCUCUCGCCAGACAGCGACGUCCUCCGCUGCUGCAGACCACAGACAGAGCUGCAUACACAAAAAUGGAGGAUCCAUUUCUUGCUGCCUUGAGGAACAGAGGGAUACCGGAAGCAAACCUUGAGAAAAUGUUGCGUGACAAGGUGGACAAAGAUGUUGCCAGGCUGAUGGAUGAGGAAACGUUGUCAAAAUAUCUUCAUCACUUUGGAGACUGCGUGUUUGCCAAAAACUGGACUGAAACACCCUCAGAAGAAGUUGGGAGCAAUGAAAAGAGGAAGAAGAUCCUUGUUGAACACAUACAAAAAAAAAUUAAACUCCCAAGCUCUGGCCAAGCAACAAGUUCUGCAAAUCAUCCUUACAAAGAUCUUGGUAAGGGAAACAAGAAUGCUGCAUGAAAAGCAAGAAAAAUAGAACUUGGUUGGAUGAAUUAUCAAAAUGGAUUUUUCAGGCAAGUUAGACGGCCCACUGGUGAGCGCACAAGAGAGGUCAUUGCCUUGAAAGAUGACGCUGUGAGCAAAAUCUUAGAGAAUGGGAAGGAAAUAUUCUUUCCCAAAGGAAAAUCUCCGAAAGGAAGAGUUGAGGACUUGGAUUUUACGCUUUGUAUUAUGGGCUCAGAGGAGCCCUUACAUAGCACUGAUACUAUUGGGAUGU